rnacentral:lncRNA from 13 species
GAGAUUUAGGGGAAGGAUCAGUGGACAGCUCAGGAAGUGCCGCUCUCAAACCUGCUGGGCAGCCGGCUCCGUGUGGCUUAAGAAGAGGUGCACAUGGAGGUUGCAGUUGUGUGAAACCCAGCUGAAGAUAUGAACAGCGACGCCGAAUCCAUGCAGUGAUAGAAGUUGGGGUCCAGCUUCUGUAGGAUUACCUCCAAUGCCAGAGACCACCAGCUCCCAAAGAAGCCCAUUCUGGUGGCUCAAAGCCGCAGCCAACAGGACGCAGGCAUGGGGCUGCAGGGAGGUGCCUAAGCCUGGAAUGGGGAGCCCAGAAGACACCGAACUGAGGCAGAAAUCUGUGGUCCUCGGAGUCCUGCUGCCUCCCCCAAGCAUCUCACCUGGGCCCCAUAGUGGGAUGGGCUUCUGCCACAUCCUCAGGCAAUGCAGAUGAGAAGCGAGGAGCCAGCAGAGACUGACCUGCCAUCCACCAGAGCCGGCCCGACAAGUGUGGACCAGCUAGUAACUGUCACAGGUGAAAUGUAAUUAAUGACAUCAUCUUGGACAACCUGGGCUUGAUUCUGCUUUGGGCGGUAAUUAAAUCACAGGCCUGGAGCCUUAGAAGGAAGGGAGACUGUGAGUGGAGCCUCCACCUGUGCUUGGCUCUGGGUGGGGCCACAGCAAAGCAUCUGCCUUCUGGAUUCACCCCUGUUAUCAAUUUUUAAAACCUGCAGCUGCUGCAGGCUCAAGAGCACAGGAUGCUUUAGACACCCGCUUUCUGCCAUCCGCAGUAUUUUGUGUUAUUUCAGAUCUGACCCUGCAGGAGAGACUGGCGGGAUGGCACAGAAGGAAGAGGCGUGUGCAGGGGGGCGGGCGUGGGAUUGGAGCAGACCUCAAAGGUGCCUCCGGGUGUGAUUUAAAAUGAGUUAGGAAGGUCGCCUCGCCCCAAAUCCACGCCUUCGGGAUCCCUCCCCUCCUCCUCUUCAUACCUAAUCGGGGUGGGACAGCAGUGUGCAGCUAUGUGUUGAUUUUACAGGGCAAAUUGACUAGACACAAGUUUUUAAAGUCGGAAAAACCUAGCUUCAAAUAAGUAGAUUGGACUCUUUAUGACUCAAUAAAAUGUUUCACUGAGUACUAGUCCUAAGAUAU